CAAAGGCUUGGUCCUGACUUUAUUAUCAACUUUAGCUAAAUUUACACAUGCAAGUAUCCGCAUCCCCGUGAGAAUGCCCUACAGUUCCCCGCCCGGGAACAAGGAGCUGGUAUCAGGCACAUAGUAUUGAAGCCCAUGACACCUUGCUUAGCCACACCCCCAAGGGAACUCAGCAGUGAUAAACAUUAAGCCAUAAGUGAAAACUUGACUUAGUUAGAGCUAAGAGGGCCGGUAAAACUCGUGCCAGCCACCGCGGUUAUACGAGAGGCUCAAGUUGAUUAACCCCGGCGUAAAGAGUGGUUAAGAUGAACUAUAAACUAAAGCCGAAUGCCCUCAAAGCCGUUAUACGCACUCGAAGGAAAGAAGCUCAAUCACGAAAGUAGCUUUACAUCACCUGAACCCACGAAAGCUAUGAAACAAACUGGGAUUAGAUACCCCACUAUGCCUAGCCCUAAACAUUGAUAGCAUCCUACAUCUGCUAUCCGCCUGGGAACUACGAGCUUUAGCUUGAAACCCAAAGGACUUGGCGGUGCUUUAGAUCCACCUAGAGGAGCCUGUUCUAGAACCGAUAACCCCCGUUUAACCUCACCCCUCCUUGUUAUCCCCGCCUAUAUACCGCCGUCGUCAGCUUACCCUGUGAAGGCCUCAUAGUAAGCAAAAUUGGCAGAGCCCAAAACGUCAGGUCGAGGUGUAGCGUAUGGAGGGGGAAGAAAUGGGCUACAUUCCCUACAUUAGGGAAUACGAACGACGUACUGAAAUCUUACGUCCAAAGGAGGAUUUAGCAGUAAAUAGAAAAUAGAGAGUUCUACUGAAAUCGGCCCUGAAGCGCGCACACACCGCCCGUCACUCUCCCCAAGCCUAAUAAUUUUAAUAACUAAAACCCUAAGAUCGCAAAGGGGAGGCAAGUCGUAACAUGGUAAGUGUACCGGAAGGUGCACUUGGUAAAAC
rnacentral:ncRNA from 2 species